GGCCUGCUGUGGUGCCACAUGGUGCACAUGGCCAUCAAUGCCUGCUGCGGUAAGUAUGAGGUGCUCGCCGGAGAUGGCGUCGGUGCUUGCUCCUGUGCAGAGAGUCGGGGUGACACCCUUCAUGACAUUCGGGUUUCCGGCUUUGCCUAUGCCCGCGAUUUUGCCGUCCUUGAUGCCGACAUCGGCCUUUACCACUCCCAGCACAGGGUCAAGAAUGGUUACAUUGGUGAUAACAGUGUCGAGACUGCCUUCCUUUCCUGUUAUGGUGUUCGCCAGGCCCAUGCCGUCGCGC
rnacentral:sRNA from 1 species